UAAGGAAUAUUGGUCAAUGGACGAAAGUCUGAACCAGCCAUGCCGCGUGGAGGAUGAAGGUCCUCUGGAUUGUAAAACUUCUUUUAAUCUGGGACAGAAAAAAGGUCUUUCUAGAUCGUCUGACGGUACCAGAUGAAUAAGCACCGGCUAACUCCGUGCCAGCAGCCGCGGUAAUACGGAGGGUGCAAGCGUUAUCCGGAUUCACUGGGUUUAAAGGGUGCUAGGUGGGUUGGUAAGUCAGUGGUGAAAUCUUCGAGCUUAACUCGGAAAACUGCCAUUGAUACUAUCAGUCUUGAAUAUUGUGGAGGUUAGCGGAAUAUGUCAUGUAGCGGUGAAAUGCUUAGAUAUGACAUAGAACACCAAUUGCGAAGGCAGCUGGCUACACAUAUAUUGACACUGAGGCACGAAAAGCGUGGGGAUCAAAACAAGGAUUAGAUACCCUGGUAGUCCACG
rnacentral:rRNA from 1 species